CGUUCAAUCGGAUCGCCGCGAUCCCAAUCGCGAAACCUUUUUACACCGCGGCGUUCUUUACCCUCCCUCCGUAACCGCCCGCACAUUCGUCGUUCCGUGAUCUUCGCGGAGAUGGAAUCCCCUCCCUCCGCGCCCGCCUGUGAUGGAUUCCCCUUCCCCUCCCUCUGCACCAUCACCGGCAAUCACGCUAUCUUCCAUUCCGAUCCAUUUUUUCAGCCACCCGAGAUCACGCACCCGUCCGCUCUCUCCUGCGAGUUGCGUCCACUCGCCUCCUCCCCUUCCCCCUCUCCCCUCCGACGACGGAGCGGCCCAGGCGGGGCCGCGGCUCACGACCAGCAUGGCCGGGCAGGGGGGUGUGCAGCCCCAGUUGUUUGCCGGCGGCGAGUGGGCCUCGGAUGGACUGCCGCCCUGCUCCCGCACCUCCGCCGCGCAUCCCCGGGCCCUGCUGCCCUCUUCCCCGGCCGAAAUCGGCCGAUUUUCGGCCGGUCGGAGAAGCCCUGCCGCCGGUCCCGACUCCCGCACGUCGACGGCCUUCUUCUGGUUCUCCUCCGCCCAAAUCGACCGCCCAGUGAGUUUCCUCGCACCACCCUCGACCUCCCAAGCGCCUUCCCCGGCCAUUUUGCUCACCGCGCCGCCGAGAACGCGGCCUCGCCACCGUGCCGAUCCACCUGCCGCGCCACCCUGGCGCUGCGCUCCCACGAGCCGCGGCCCCACCUGGCCGUGCUGGCUGUCGCGCCGCCUCGCCUGCCGCUGGCUGGCCUCGCCGCCUGCUAGGCCGCCGGGCCUUCACGUAGGUUUGCGGUUCGUCUGAGUUUUGUUCUUCGAUGCUCGUGCGAAGUUCCUCCGGGCAAAAUAAAUUGAUUGGAUUUCCAGGAGUACCUCAACCUGCAGCAUCGGACGUUCGUGUAGUACUACCGCUGCUUGUCGAUGUCUCUCCUAAACAAGGAUAACGUCGACGAGGAUGGCAACUGAGUUAUCAUGCCGCCAUCUGCUCUUGAUCGCCUUAGCCGCCUCAAUGUCGAGUACCCGAUGUUGUUCUAGAUCCAGAAUCCCAGCACGGAGCGCAGCACGCAUUGCGGUGCGCACGAGUAUGUCGCUGAGGAAAGGUUCAUCCACAUGCUGACCAGGGAGAACGAGCUCGUGCUGGUGAGGAACAUGUUGCUGCCCACAGCCACCUUCAUCAAGCUGCAGCCGCACACCACGGACUUCCUCCACGCAGCUGAUUUGGGUCCAGGUUUGUCGGCUCGUAAUCCUUUUUCUCCAUUUGAUCCAACUAUUCCGGCUAGGUUGAGUUGAAUUUGUUCUGGCCGUGCCAUCAAAGCGGAUUUGAUUGCACUUAAUUGGAUGCUGCAAAACAGCAAGAGGGCAGGUUCCUGUCGGGCCACCGGAGAUGGCGAAGUCGACGACGGCUGCCGCCUCGUUCAUGGUUGGCCAAGGCAUCUUCUUCCUUGUAUUUCCCUAUAGAUUGACUUGCUAACUAAGAUCCUUGCGUCGUGGUCGCGUGGGAGCUCUCCGCCAAGAUUGGUUGCCAGUUUGCCACCACCCGUGUCGUCCUCGACGACGAGGGGUCACCGCGCCGACGGGCUUGCGGCUGCCGGAGGCCGCGGCUGGUGGAAGACCUUCGAGCAGAAGGCGGAGGCGUCGGAGAUGAGCACCUUCCCUGCAGGCGUACGCGGCCCCGACGUCCCGGUCGAACCGCGCGCUAGCUUGCCGCCCGCCGUGCCCGGCGCGGCGUUGGUCGCGCCGAACGUGACCGCGCCGGCAGAGCGCUACCACGACGUCGUCACAACUCACAUCUCGCUCGCCGCGCGCGGUUGUCGCCUGCGACGACUGUGUAGGCACGGUGCGUGUUGGAACGAAGCGCGACGGUGAUCGAGGGUUCAUAUAGCCUAGGCCGGCGGCCGGCAAGAAGAUAACGUGGCGCGGCGUCACCAAUGCAAGAUUUUGUUGGGUGUGAGCCAUGUUGGUUGACUCGUCGGGGCCUGAGUCAAGCACUGGCUCGAUCGGUUGGGAAAUUCGACGAGUGGAGGGCUACUUGCCUACCGGCUUGCACUGCAGGGCUGCAUGCGCUGGUGUGCUACGGCUUGAGUGCUGGCCUACUAGCUAGGGAAUGUCUGGCACAACUCUUCGCGCAGUGCAGUCAUGCCUCUGCUCUCUUGCAACAUUCCCUAGCUAGUGGUGACGGCAGUUUAGAGGUAUGACCUUAACACGAAAUCGAAAUCUUGUACAUAGGCAUACAAGUACUCACUCGCACCAUGGCCGAUCUGUACUAAUUAAACGACUAUAAUUUCAACAGCUAUGGUUGUUAGUUUGAAUCCAGCUUUUCAACCAGAGAGCGCCGGCCGGGCAAACGUGUUGUACGUGGUGCCGUAAACAUUUGGACUACCAAAGGAGCAGAGUACUUGUUCCACGCUCAACAAUACCUUAUCGAAAGUUUAUUUAUUUUAGAGUAAAAUGUACUGUAGGUCCUCAAACUAGUUCUCCUGUUCUGUUUAGGUCCAUGAACUUUGAAAAUACAUUUCUAGGUCCAGGAUCUAUUUAAGUGAGCCAUUAGAAGUCCAAAACGCCAUUGACCUGCUCUGACCGGCUACGUGGAUCGCCAAGCUGGCUCUGACGUGGACAUGACUUCGACGGAGGCGCAAAAAAAUUGCAAGUACACCCUUCCCUGCUAUAGUAAUGUGGGGUGCGGAUCCAUGCCAUGGCUCUCAUCCUCUGUUCUCUCGUGUUCUUCUCCCCCCUCUCUGCGCCUACCCCUGAGGCCCAGAUCCAUGCCAUGGCUCGCGAAUCCAGUGCAUCGGCGUCGGAGCAGUGGGGUGCGGAUGAGCUCCCGAUCAUCCUUUGCACUGAUUGUGGGCUCCGGCAAGUGGUGCGGCGCAGAUCGAAAUAGGAAUGGAGCUUUGGGAAAGUGUUCUACUGCUGCCCGUUGCACAAGCGUGAUGGAAGUGGAUGCCCUUUUUGGUUCUGGGAAGAAGAUUACGUUGUCAAGCUUAGGAGUCUUGGGUUGCUGAAAGGAGGCAGUUCAACGCAGCUGGAAGACCCUAUUGCAGCCCCAAGGAUGGAGUUUCUGCAUGCUAGAGAAGGAGAAUGGAAGAAGAAGAAUGCCACUGAAAUAGUUAGGUUGCUAAAGUCAAUAUGUGUUGUAUGUGUAUCUAUUCUGUGUGUGCAAUGUGUGAUGCUGUUGCUCUUAGUGUUUAAGAACUGAACAUGGAAUGUAUCGAAGCUAUUAGCAUGUAUGAACUGAGCAUGAAAUGUAUGGAAUUUGAAGUCAAGCAUCACAUGAGCUUGAAUUGUUAGAA